UUAAGCGACUAAGCGUACACGGUGGAUGCCCUGGCAGUCAGAGGCGAUGAAGGACGUGCUAAUCUGCGAAAAGCGUCGGUAAGGUGAUAUGAACCGUUAUAACCGGCGAUGUCCGAAUGGGGAAACCCAGUGCAAUUCGUUGCACUAUCGUUAACUGAAUACAUAGGUUAACGAGGCGAACCGGGGGAACUGAAACAUCUAAGUACCCCGAGGAAAAGAAAUCAACCGAGAUUCCCCCAGUAGCGGCGAGCGAACGGGGAGCAGCCCAGAGUCUGAAUCAGCUUGUGUGUUAGUGGAACGGUCUGGAAAGUCCGACGGUACAGGGUGAUAGUCCCGUACACCAAAAUGCACAGGCUGUGAACUCGAAGAGUAGGGCGGGACACGUGGUAUCCUGUCUGAAUAUGGGGGGACCAUCCUCCAAGGCUAAAUACUCCUGACUGACCGAUAGUGAACCAGUACCGUGAGGGAAAGGCGAAAAGAACCCCGGCGAGGGGAGUGAAAAAGAACCUGAAACCGUGUACGUACAAGCAGUGGGAGCACCUUCGGGUGUGACUGCGUACCUUUUGUAUAAUGGGUCAGCGACUUAUAUUCUGUAGCAAGGUUAACCGUAUAGGGGAGCCGCAGGGAAACCGAGUCUUAACUGGGCGUUAAGUUGCAGGGUAUAGACCCGAAACCCGGUGAUCUAGCCAUGGGCAGGUUGAAGGUUGGGUAACACUAACUGGAGGACCGAACCGACUAAUGUUGAAAAAUUAGCGGAUGACUUGUGGCUGGGGGUGAAAGGCCAAUCAAACCGGGAGAUAGCUGGUUCUCCCCGAAAGCUAUUUAGGUAGCGCCUCGUGAAUUCAUCUUCGGGGUAGAGCACUGUUUCGGCUAGGGGUCAUCCCGACUUACCAACCCGAUGCAAACUACGAAUACCGAAGAAUGUUAUCACGGGAGACACACGGCGGGUGCUAACGUCCGUCGUGAAGAGGGAAACAACCCAGACCGCCAGCUAAGGUCCCAAAGUCAUGGUUAAGUGGGAAACGAUGUGGGAAGGCACAGACAGCCAGGAUGUUGGCUUAGAAGCAGCCAUCAUUUAAAGAAAGCGUAAUAGCUCACUGGUCGAGUCGGCCUGCGCGGAAGAUGUAACGGGGCUAAACCAUGCACCGAAGCUGCGGCAGCGACACUAUGUGUUGUUGGGUAGGGGAGCGUUCUGUAAGCCUGCGAAGGUGACCUGUGAGGGUUGCUGGAGGUAUCAGAAGUGCGAAUGCUGACAUAAGUAACGAUAAAGCGGGUGAAAAGCCCGCUCGCCGGAAGACCAAGGGUUCCUGUCCAACGUUAAUCGGGGCAGGGUGAGUCGACCCCUAAGGCGAGGCCGAAAGGCGUAGUCGAUGGGAAACAGGUUAAUAUUCCUGUACUUGGUGUUACUGCGAAGGGGGGACGGAGAAGGCUAUGUUAGCCGGGCGACGGUUGUCCCGGUUUAAGCAUGUAGGCUGGUUAUCCAGGCAAAUCCGGAUAAUCAAGGCUGAGGUGUGAUGACGAGGCACUACGGUGCUGAAGUAACAAAUGCCCUGCUUCCAGGAAAAGCCUCUAAGCAUCAGGUAACAUUAAAUCGUACCCCAAACCGACACAGGUGGUCAGGUAGAGAAUACCAAGGCGCUUGAGAGAACUCGGGUGAAGGAACUAGGCAAAAUGGUGCCGUAACUUCGGGAGAAGGCACGCUGGUGUGUAGGUGAAGUCCCUGCGGAUGGAGCUGAGACCAGUCGAAGAUACCAGCUGGCUGCAACUGUUUAUUAAAAACACAGCACUGUGCAAACACGAAAGUGGACGUAUACGGUGUGACGCCUGCCCGGUGCCGGAAGGUUAAUUGAUGGGGUUAUCCGUAAGGAGAAGCUCUUGAUCGAAGCCCCGGUAAACGGCGGCCGUAACUAUAACGGUCCUAAGGUAGCGAAAUUCCUUGUCGGGUAAGUUCCGACCUGCACGAAUGGCGUAAUGAUGGCCAGGCUGUCUCCACCCGAGACUCAGUGAAAUUGAACUCGCUGUGAAGAUGCAGUGUACCCGCGGCAAGACGGAAAGACCCCGUGAACCUUUACUAUAGCUUGACACUGAACAUUGAGCCUUGAUGUGUAGGAUAGGUGGGAGGCUUUGAAGCGUGGACGCCAGUCUGCGUGGAGCCAACCUUGAAAUACCACCCUUUAAUGUUUGAUGUUCUAACGUUGGCCCCUGACCGGGGUUGCGGACAGUGUCUGGUGGGUAGUUUGACUGGGGCGGUCUCCUCCCAAAGCGUAACGGAGGAGCACGAAGGUUAGCUAAUCCUGGUCGGACAUCAGGAGGUUAGUGCAAUGGCAUAAGCUAGCUUGACUGCGAGCGUGACGGCGCGAGCAGGUGCGAAAGCAGGUCAUAGUGAUCCGGUGGUUCUGAAUGGAAGGGCCAUCGCUCAACGGAUAAAAGGUACUCCGGGGAUAACAGGCUGAUACCGCCCAAGAGUUCAUAUCGACGGCGGUGUUUGGCACCUCGAUGUCGGCUCAUCACAUCCUGGGGCUGAAGUAGGUCCCAAGGGUAUGGCUGUUCGCCAUUUAAAGUGGUACGCGAGCUGGGUUUAGAACGUCGUGAGACAGUUCGGUCCCUAUCUGCCGUGGGCGCUGGAGAAUUGAGGGGGGCUGCUCCUAGUACGAGAGGACCGGAGUGGACGCAUCACUGGUGUUCGGGUUGUCAUGCCAAUGGCACUGCCCGGUAGCUAAAUGCGGAAGAGAUAAGUGCUGAAAGCAUCUAAGCACGAAACUUGCCCCGAGAUGAGUUCUCCCUGAGACUAUAAGUCUCCUGAAGGAACGUUAAAGACGAUGACGUUGAUAGGCCGGGUGUGUAAGCGCAGCGAUGCGUUGAGCUAACCGGUACUAAUGAACCGUGAGGCUUAACCUU
rnacentral:rRNA from 1 species